UCGUGCUAGAUGGGGAGUUGGCGGUGCCCUGCACCCGCAAUCCGCCAUAGCGGGAUUGAACUCCCUCUCGAGGUACGGCCCUUUGGGACUGCGGUCGUAACGUGGUGUUGAAGUCUGGGUCCUGUGCGGCGGGAAACUGUGAAUCGGGUCAGGACCGGAAGGUAGCAGCCCUAAGCGGCACUUCUCGGGUGACACGGGGAAGCCCAGGUGGAGCCAACGGGCGGUU
rnacentral:SRP_RNA from 1 species